GAUGAAGAACGUAGCGAAAUGCGAUAAGUAAUGUGAAUUGCAGAAUUCAGUGAAUCAUCGAAUCUUUGAACGCAUCUUGCGCUCCUUGGUAUUCCGAGGAGCAUGCCUGUUUGAGUGUCAUUUAACUUCUCAACCACAUUGGAUAUUUUUUUUCCGAUGCCGGCUUGGAUGUGGGGGUUGUUUGCAGGCUUUUUGUAACAAAAAAGGUCGGCUCCCCUGAAAUGUAUUAGUGGUAUCUGAGGCUAUUACUAUUAGGUGUGAUAAUUAUCUAUGCCUUUUGGGUAUGCCGCAUGAACAGAUUAUGCUGCUUCUAACGAAAACUAUUUUGAUGAAUUUGACCUCAAAUCAGGUAGGACUACCCGCUGAACUUAAGCAUAUCAAUAGGGAGGA
rnacentral:misc_RNA from 1 species